UACAGAGGGUGCGAGCGUUGUCCGGAAUCACUGGGCGUAAAGGGCGCGUAGGCGGCCCGAUAAGUAGGGGGUGAAAUCCUGCGGCUUAACCGCAGGGCUGCCUUCUAAACUGCCAGGCUAGAGCACAGUAGAGGCAGGUGGAAUUCCCGGUGUAGCGGUGGAAUGCGUAGAGAUCGGGGAAGAACAUCAGUGGCGAAGGCGGCCUGCUGGGCUGUUGCUGACGCUGAGGCGCGACAGCGUGGGGGAGCAAACAGG
rnacentral:rRNA from 1 species